GUGCUGCAGCUGCUGCCAAAGCUGACUGCUUGGAGAGGGAGAUGCUCACAGGAGAUGGCUGCUGCACACCAAGAGCUGCAGGUAGAGAAAAUAAGCUACCUGAGAGUCCGGCGGCCACAAUGGUUCGUAACAUUGAGGUGGUCUAGCGGCGGCCUCGCCUGGCGUUGAUUGUGUUUUUGGUGUCGUCGUGUGGACUGCGAGGUUUGUCGAAGGUGACCGGCUGAGAGAGCUACCGUUGGAUCGGCGAGGGGAGCCUGGUCUGCUGCCUCCGGUGGGCCCAAGGACCACGGCCCUGCCUGGAGCUGCACCCAAAGAGGAAACACCGGGUGCGGUCUGGCAGGAUGCAGAAGCAGGGGAGGGUAAGGUAACUGCUAGUCCAUGCAUGGGCUAGCCGUCAUCCUGGCUAGCGUUCGCUCUCCUGGACAGUGAUUCUUUUUUCUUUUUUUUAAAUAUAUGUUGGAUAUGUGCUUUUGCAGUUUAU